rnacentral:rRNA from 1 species
AUUGAACGCUGGCGGCAGGCCUAACACAUGCAAGUCGAGCGGCGCGGCGGUCGGGUGCGUAAUGCCUAGGUAUCUGCCUGGUAGUGGGGGAUAACGUCCGGUACCGGGCGCUAUAACCGCAUACUAUUAGCAUAGCCUAGGUCGGAUUAGCUAGUGGGUGGGGUAAAGGCCUACCAAGGCGACGAUCCGUAACUGGUCUGAGAGGAUGAUCAGUCACACUGGAACUGAGACACGGUCCAGACUCCUACGGGAGGCAGCAGUGGGGAAUAUUGGACAAUGGGCGAAAGCCUGAUCCAGCCAUGCCGCGUGUGUGAAGAAGGUCUUCGGAUUGUAAAGCACUUUAAGUUGGGAGGCGUUACCAACAGAAUAAGCACCGGCUAACUUCGUGCCAGCAGCCGCGGUAAUAC